UGGGGAAUAUUGGACAAUGGGCGCAAGCCUGAUCCAGCCAUGCCGCGUGAGUGAUGAAGGCCCUAGGGUUGUAAAGCUCUUUCACCGGUGAAGAUAAUGACGGUAACCGGAGAAGAAGCCCCGGCUAACUUCGUGCCAGCAGCCGCGGUAAUACGAAGGGGGCUAGCGUUGUUCGGAUUUACUGGGCGUAAAGCGCACGUAGGCGGACUUUUAAGUCAGGGGUGAAAUCCCGGGGCUCAACCCCGGAACUGCCUUUGGUACUGGAAGUCUUGAGUAUGGUAGAGGUGAGUGGAAUUCCGAGUGUAGAGGUGAAAUUCGUAGAUAUUCGGAGGAACACCAGUGGCGAAGGCGGCUCACUGGACCAUUACUGACGCUGAGGUGCGAAAGCGUGGGGAGCAAACAGG
rnacentral:rRNA from 1 species